AAACAGACUUCUCUUUCAGUAAACCCUGAUCAAAAUCGUUAAGAACACGGUCUUUGAUCGGUUCUUAGUCCCGAGAUACGACGUUUCGGGUCAACUUGUUGACCCAAUCCAGUUAAAAUUUAACCGACCAAAGCUUCCUGAUAAAAUAAAAGAAGGCCUCUUCGAGGCGAUCAAAGUCAUCAAUAUAACAUAAUAUUGUUGAUGAUUCUUGAAUACAUGUAAAGAAGAGGUAUUUAUGGAUUAGAAAACAUGAUCUCGAUGACAAGCUAAACAGACACCCUAAAUUAUAGUGUAAAGAAUGAGGAAACAGAGUUCUUGACACUUAGGCGGCGAAACAGGCGGAACAAGCAAAGUCCCGAGUCAACCGAACAAGAAGAGCAUUGACGAUGCCCCACAAUAAGAACAGCAAUGACAUUCUCGCAGGACAGAAGAACAUAAGAAACAACUAGAAAUAAAGAAUCUAGCCUGGAAUCACCGAAAAUAAAGGAAUGAGAGUCCGGAAACGCGAAGGGGCAAGAAAGGGAGCCCGAUCGGAAUAGAGGCGAUGAAGAGGAGCGAGAGAAGGUACCACUGUGCCGCUAGCCACCAGCCACCGAGGAUCAAGGCGAUCUACAGAGGAUGAGGCGGUGU
rnacentral:lncRNA from 1 species